UACUGCCAUGUAAGAGCUUUAAGAAAACAGUAUCCCAUUGAUUGCCUGGUUUGGUAAAUACUGCAUAUAAAAAUAAAAUCUUUAAAUAUACUCACAUCUUUUCAACAUUAAUAACAUCUAAACUUUUUUUCAACCAGCAGCAGUAGCAUUACUUCAGGUUCUUUGCCAGAAAAACUAGCAUGUUUGAGUGAUAGAGAAAACCACUCUGGUACCCCAUGGUGUGUAAAACAGAAAGUUAAUGAA